rnacentral:rRNA from 1 species
GUUCGGCUUAGAGUUUGAUCCUGGCUCAGAACGAACGCUGGCGGCGUGCCUAACACAUGCAAGUCGAGCGAACUCUUCGGAGUUAGUGGCGCACGGGUGAGUAACGCGUGGGUAAUUUACCUUUGAGCUUGGGAUAACCUCGGGAAACCGGGGCUAAUACCGAAUAAGACCACACUUCAUAAGUUGUGUGGUAAAAGCUUGCCUCUGACACAAGCAAGCACUCAAAGAUAAGCCCGCGUCUCAUUAGCUUGUUGGUGGGGUAAUGGCCUACCAAGGCUUUGAUGGGUAGCCGGCUUGAGAGGGUGAACGGCCACAUUGGCACUGGAACACGGGCCAGACUCCUACGGGAGGCAGCAGUGAGGAAUAUUGCGCAAUGGGCGAAAGCCUGACGCAGCAACGCCGCGUGAGCGAUGAAGGCCUUCGGGUUGUAAAGCUCUGUCAGCGGGGACGAAUCCCCUUCCGGGUAAAUAGUCCGGAAGACUGACGGUACCCGCAAAGGAAGCCCCGGCUAACUC